UUUUAGUAGUGAAAGCGGUUAGAAGGGAGGAAAAGGAUUAGAAAGAAAAAGUAGAAAGCGUAUUAUGAAGUAUUAUUUUGAAGAUUGAAGAAUGCAUUUUCUAAGUUGCUUGAGUUUACUUUAUUAGGGAUUGUAUUGCACUUGCACUUGGGAUCAGGAGUAGGAUUGGCAUUAGGAUUAGAAUAGGAUUUGGGAUUCCUCUUUGAUCAAAAAUAAAUAAAAAAUAAAAAAUUAGAAAACUUCUAGUGCUCUCGCCAGAACUAGAACUUUUUCAUGCAACGGAACGAGAUGAACGGAGAAAUGCGGAACCAAGAUGAAGCAAGACAACAAGUCGAUUAACAAUGAAAGAAAAAAAUAUCAAUAUAGUCGGAAAACAAAAAGAUGAUUGAUUAAUAAGGAAAGUAUGAGAAGGAGGCGGU